UACGUAGGGGGCUAGCGUUGUCCGGAAUCAUUGGGCGUAAAGCGCGUGUAGGCGGUCCGGUAAGUCCGUUGUGAAAACUCGAGGCUCAACCUCGAGACGUCGAUGGAAACCAUCUGGCUAGAGUCCGGAAGAGGAGAGUGGAAUUCCUGGUGUAGCGGUGAAAUGCGCAGAUAUCAGGAAGAACACCCGUGGCGAAGGCGGCUCUCUGGUACGUGACUGACGCUGAGACGCGAAAGCGUGGGGAGCAAACAGG
rnacentral:rRNA from 1 species